rnacentral:rRNA from 1 species
CCUGGUUGAUCCUGCCAGUAAUCAUAUGCUUGUCUCAAAGAUUAAGCCAUGCAUGUCUAAGUACAUGCCGAAAUAAGGCGAAACCGCGAAUGGCUCAUUAAAUCAGUUAUGGUUCCUUAGAUCGUUUCUUCCUACUUGGAUAACUGUGGCAAUUAUAGAGCUAAUACAUGCAGUGAGCCUGGAGCCCUUUGGGUAACGGGUGCUUUUCUUAUUAGACCAAGAUCGAUCGGGUUUCGGCCCGCGUACUUGUGUGGUGACUCUGGAUAACUUUGUGCUGAUCGCAUGGCCACGAGCCGGCGACGUUUCUUUCAAGUGUCUGCCUUAUCAACUUUCGAUGGUAGGUUACUUGCUUACCAUGGUUGUUACGGGUAACGGAGAAUCAGGGUUCGAUUCCGGAGAGGGAGCCUGAGAAACGGCUACCACAUCCAAGGAAGGCAGCAGGCGCGGAAAUUACCCACUCCCGGCACGGUAGUGACGAAAAAUAACAAUACGGGACUCUUUUGAGGCCCCGUAAUUGAAAUGAGUACACGCUAAAUCCUUUAACGAGGAUCAAUUGGAGGGCAAGUCUGGUGCCAGCAGCCGCGGUAAUUCCAGCUCCAAUAGCGUAUACUAAAGGUGCUGCGGUUAAAAAGCUCGUAGUUGGAUCUCAGUUCCAGACGAGUAGUGCAUCUACCCGAUGCGACGGCUCGGACUGAACAUCAUGCCGGUUCUUUCUUGGUGCACUUCAUUGUGUGCCUCGAGAUGGCCGGUGCUUUUACUUUGAAAAAAUUAGAGUGCUCAACGCAGGCGAGUCGCCUGAAUAAACUUGCAUGGAAUAAUAGAACAAGACCUCGUUUCUGUUCUGUUGGUUUUUGGAAUACGAGGUAAUGAUUAAGAGGGACGGACGGGGGCAUUCGUAUUGCGGCGCUAGAGGUGAAAUUCUUGGACCGUCGCAAGACGAACUACUGCGAAAGCAUUUGCCAAGAAUGUUUUCAUUGAUCAAGAACGAAAGUCAGAGGUUCGAAGGCGAUCAGAUACCGCCCUAGUUCUGACCAUAAACGAUGCCAACCAGCGAUCCGCCUGAGUUACUCAAAUGACUCGGCGGGCAGCUUCCGGGAAACCAAAGUAUUUGGGUUCCGGGGGAAGUAUGGUUGCAAAGCUGAAACUUAAAGGAAUUGACGGAAGGGCACCACCAGGAGUGGAGCCUGCGGCUUAAUUUGACUCAACACGGGAAAACUUACCCGGCCCGGACACUGGGAGGAUUGACAGAUUGAGAGCUCUUUCUUGAUUCGGUGGAUGGUGGUGCAUGGCCGUUCUUAGUUGGUGGAGCGAUUUGUCUGGUUAAUUCCGAUAACGAACGAGACUCUAGCCUAUUAAAUAGGUGCGGGGUUCCCAGCACCUUACAACCUUCUUAGAGGGACAAGCGGCUCCUAGCCGCACGAAACAGAGCAAUAACAGGUCUGUGAUGCCCUUAGAUGUCCGGGGCCGCACGCGCGCUACACUGAAGGAAGCAGCGUGUCUUUAUCCCUGUCUGAAAAGACUGGGUAACCCGUGGAACUUCUUUCGUGAUUGGGAUAGGGGCUUGCAAUUGUUCCCCUUGAACGAGGAAUUCCCAGUAAGCGCGAGUCAUAAGCUCGCGUUGAUUACGUCCCUGCCCUUUGUACACACCGCCCGUCGCUACUACCGAUUGAAUGAUUUAGUGAGGUCUUCGGACCGAUGUCCGGCGCGGCCUUUCGGUUGCGCCGGUCUGUUGGAAAGAUGACCAAACUUGAUCAUUUAGAGGAAGUAAAAGUCGUAACAAGGUUUCCGUAGGUGAACCUGCGGAAG